CAAGAAUGUUGUUGGUGGAUGAUUCUGCAAAAGCCUGAAUUUAACAGUUGUGUUGCUUUCAACAAUAUCUGCCUCUUGCAACAAUUUGGUGAAGGUUCGGGGGAAAUUUGCCAAAGAAAAAACCCUGUGCAGACAAGAUAGAGUUUUGGCUCAGCCCAGGAUCCCAACGAAUCUCACUCCGCAGAAUUUCCAUCCAAUGGCAACAAUGCAGGAAGGAAGGUCUUGGAAAUAGACCGCAACGACCAAUGGUUUGAAAACAUCCUCAAAUCCUGCACCACAAUCUGGUUCUAAUCUGCCUCCUCCUACACCGAGGACAAACUCCAGCAUGGUGGCUGCACUGAUGAGUGGGUGAAUGGCUGUCAGCUGCCCUCCACGGAGGAGCUGCGUGAUGCCAGGGUGACACACACACACAAAAAAAGGGCAAGAAGGAUUGCCACCGAGCCUGCACACCCAGGCAACCAUCUGCUCUGAAACUCUUCCUGUGGGAGACGGCACCUCCUCUUCACAAGCCCCUAUGGAACUGUCUGUACACCUACCACGGUUACUCUUAACAUGCUACUUACUGUAAACUAAAGCAUCACAGUGACAAAAAGCUUAUAGUUAUCAUGCAUUUUGUCCUUUUCAGUUUAUGGAUUACCAGAAAAUUAACC